rnacentral:rRNA from 1 species
UACGUAGGGGGCAAGCGUUGUCCGGAUUUACUGGGCGUAAAGAGCGCGUAGGUGGGAGAGCAAGUCCGGUGUGAAAGCCCCCGGCUCAACCGGGGAAGGUCGCUGGAAACCGCUCUUCUUGAGGUGGACAGAGGGAAGUGGAAUUCCUGGUGUAGCGGUGAAAUGCGUAGAUAUCAGGAGGAACACCGGUGGCGAAGGCGGAUCUCUGGGCCAGUACUGACACUGAGGAGCGAAAGCGUGGGUAGCAAACAGG